UGAUGUGACGAUGCAGAUGGAGCUUCUGUCACCAGGUUGAUUCUGCAGAUCUGGCUCGUUCAGAGGGAAUCCUCUUCCUCCCUACUGAAACUGAGUGCUCCUUUAGAGAGGAUGGGAUAAAGGAGGACCAUUCCUCUGUGAAGGGUACAUGGAUAACUGCACUGCCUGCUAGAACUUCUGAACAAGCUCUAAAGAUCAAUUUGUAGAACACAGGGUAGUCAAGCUUCCAAGACUCCAGACAUAUGUGAAAUAAUACAUACGUGAAAAUUC
rfam:Rattus norvegicus chromosome 5, whole genome shotgun sequence.